GGAAGAAAUCGAAAAUUUAAAGUAUAAUCAAAGAAUGAAAAAAAUAUUACGUAGUUGAGAGAUAGAUGAGAGAGAGGGAAAGAUAAGAAGAAGAAGAAGGGAAGGAGAGAGACAAAGGUUCGUGGAAGAAGAGGUGUUGUGAGCAUAUUAUUAUUAUUAUUAUUAUUUUUAUUUUUUUUUGUAAACCUUGAGAAUAUUAUCUAACACAAUGUUUUUAAGUAUAAUAUUAUCUAAUACAAAUAUUGUUAGCUCGAUACAAAUAUAACAUAAUUUCAGUAACUAUUGAUUAAUAUCUAAUUAUAAUUUUUUUAAGUCUG
rnacentral:lncRNA from 1 species